rnacentral:rRNA from 1 species
GACGAACGCUGGCGGCGUGCCUAACACAUGCAAGUCGAGCGAAUGAAGUUCCUUCGGGAACGGAUUUAGCGGCGGACGGGUGAGUAACACGUGGGCAACCUGCCUCAUAGAGGGGAAUAGCCUUCCGAAAGGGAGAUUAAUACCGCAUAAGAUUGUAAUACCGCAUGGUAUAGCAAUUAAAGGAGCAAUCCGCUAUGAGAUGGACCCGCGUCGCAUUAGCUAGUUGGUGAGGUAACGGCCCACAAGGCGACGAUCAGUAGCCGGACUGAGAGGUUGACCGGCACAUUGGGACUGAGAUACGGCCAGACUCUACGGGAGGCAGGCAGUGGGGAAUAUU